rnacentral:rRNA from 1 species
AGUGAACGCUGGCGGUAGGCCUAACACAUGCAAGUCGAACGGCAGCACAGUAAGAGCUUGCUCUUACGGGUGGCGAGUGGCGGACGGGUGAGGAAUACAUCGGAAUCUACUUUUUCGUGGGGGAUAACGUAGGGAAACUUACGCUAAUACCGCAUACGACCUACGGGUGAAAGCUGGGGAUCUUCGGACCUUGCGCGAUUGAAUGAGCCGAUGUCGGAUUAGCUAGUUGGCGGGGUAAAGGCCCACCAAGGCGACGAUCCGUAGCUGGUCUGAGAGGAUGAUCAGCCACACUGGAACUGAGACACGGUCCAGACUCCUACGGGAGGCAGCAGUGGGGAAUAUUGGACAAUGGGCGCAAGCCUGAUCCAGCCAUACCGCGUGGGUGAAGAAGGCCUUCGGGUUGUAAAGCCCUUUUGUUGGGAAAGAAAGGCAGCAGGUUAAUACCCCGCUGUUCUGACGGUACCCAAAGAAUAAGCACCGGCUAACUUCGUG